rnacentral:lncRNA from 1 species
CAUAAUUGGCGUCACGAACAGGAUCCUAUCCACAGGGUCCACCCCAUUGGUUUUCUGGUUAAGUUCUAGUAGCACGGUCCGGGCCUGGUUGAGCACCCUACCAUGGCUGGAAUUGAAGAACUACGAACCCAGUUUGCUGAACUUCAGCACAGAUUAUCAGACCAAGCGGAGGCAUUACAACAAGCUAGAACUGAACAGAGAGAAGCCUUAUCGCUGGCCAAGGCAGUAAUAGACCAACAGACAGCAGAAACUAAGAGACCCCCUACUAUUUAUGUCCCAUGGGAGCGGAAGAUCAUGGAGUUUGGUGACUUCCCAACUAGACCAGGAGACAUUACAGUAGAGGGGUGGGUCAAGUCUGUAAAGGCGGCUCUGCGUGUGCUAAGAAUACCUGAAGAAGAUCAUGUGGACUUCAUAGAGGAGCACCUCAAGGGCCAGGCCAAGGCCACAGUAAAGUUCAUGGCAGUGACAGACAAGAAAGAUGUGGAAAAGGUGUUUGAACUCCUCCUAGAAGUGUAUGGGGACAAGGUACCUAUUGGAACCCGACUAAAGGAGUUUUUUCAGAGAAAGCAGGAGCCUGGUGAAACUGUCCGGGCAUACGCAUAUGACCUCCAGGAGAGAAUGAGCAAAGUGGAGCGGCGAGACCCUCAGCGAGUUCCAGACCCAGAUACGGUUCUGAAAGAGCAGUUGGUGCUGGGGCUCAAUGACGACUCCCUCCGACGUGAAAUGAAAAGGAGGUUUAAAGAAGAGCCCAGUAAGAAGUUCCAUGAACUCAUGCAGGCUGCCAUUAUAUGGUCAGAAGAAGAGGAAGUUCCUAUGGCAGAGGCGGCCAAGCCUAACCCCCAUACACAAAGUGGGGGCCUAGUGAAUGCAGCUGCUGGGGAAAAGGCCCUGCCCCAAACAGAGCUAACAUUGGAAAGCUUAAGUGAAGCUGUCCAAAAACUGGCUGUCCAACAGGGGGAGAUGCUGAAAGUGAUGACUGAGUUCAUGAAAGAAAAAAAAUCCCAUUAGUAUGCCAAAGUAUCCAAGGGCACUGGGAUCACGAAGAGCCCCACUGAAGGACGAACUGGGAAGAU